CGCUCUUCGGAAUAACUUACCGCUUUUUCUCUAAUUUCGCUCGUCGGCGAUGAAUCUGGUGGAAGCGACGUGCUCGCACAAAAAAAGACGGAGGAGGAAGGAAGAAUAUGAUGGAUUCGUUGUUUCUCAAAUGUUUCAACGCUCACGCAGGGUCAGCAUGCCUAGUUGGCAUUCUUGUGUGGUCAUCUCUCUUCAAGGCUUCUCUGGACAUUUUAGAGGAUUUUCCUUAUGGGGACAGGAUAUGGCGGAUUGGAACCGGGGUCGACAUUUAUACCACCACCCAUUUUGCCAGUCAUAUUGAGGGACUCAUAGAUGGGGAUUGAGGAACACUUUGGUACCCUCUUGUCUUUUUGUUACUCCACGUACCUCUUGCUUUUACAAUUUCUCUUCAUUGUCCCCUUCCAUGUUUGACUCAUUCGCUCGCACGCGUACUGCUCUCUCUAUAUUAGGCCUGGUUACCACCACUUACUGCCUUCUUUGGCGGAUUUGUUUGUUCGUCAGCUUGUGUUCUUUUUUGUGUAACUUAAAUCUUUUUAUUCACGCCAUUGCGAAUUUUCCUUCUUCAUUCAGUUUUCUCCGCACUGCACCAAAACUCAUCUUCGGUAUCACCAGGUCGUCGUAUGAGACGGGAACAUAAUCGAAUCGAUUGGUUCUUACGCGCGCAAAUGCAAGGCAAAUGGGCACCAAUGUCUCUCCUUCCUUGAGGUUGAGCGAGGUGUUUGGCUGGUUGUCAUUCAAAGUUACUGUAUGUCUUGUGCAUCGAUGUUUCCACUUGGUUUGGCUGGGCAUUUGGUGGUGGUGUAGUUGGAUGGUGGUGGCGAUGGUUAAACCGGAGUAGUUCACAAGCAUAACAGUUGACGGACGCCGCUUGUAUUUUUGUUGGAUGUCACUCCUUGGAUGUCCCUUGAAUGGUUGUGCGAUAAAUCCGCUCAGUACAGCCAAGUACACGCAUUACAAAAAAAUAACGAGGACCACAAGAAGAUGGCUAUCACGCAUUAG